AACAGUGUGCUUAGUGGUUUCAGUGUUGGAUGAUGACUCUGGAGACCAGGGUUCGAAUCCCAACUCUGUCA